rnacentral:tRNA from 1 species
UAGCUCAGAGGUUAAGAGCACUGGCUGCUUUUCCAGAGGUCCUGGGUUCAAUUCCCAG